UUGAGCGGUAUGAAGGGAAACUUUCACGUACCGUUCUGAGAAGAGGGGGGACGAGCAAUCGUUCCUCUUUAUUCGGC
rfam:Candidatus Bathyarchaeota archaeon RBG_13_38_9 RBG_13_scaffold_15688, whole genome shotgun sequence.